CUCACCAGAUAAGACAGCUGAAUGAUAGUCGGGCUGAAGACUCUACUUGACUAGCUGAGAGGAGGUGCAUGGCCGUCGUCAGUUCGUACUGUGAAGCAUCCUGUUAAGUCAGGCAACGAGCGAGACCCACGCCAACAGUUGCCAGCUCGUCCUCCGGGAUGGUGGGGACACUGUUGGGACCGCCUCUGCUAAAGAGGAGGAAGGAAUGGGCAACGGUAGGUCAGCAUGCCCCGAAUUAUCUGGGCUACACGCGGGCUACAAUGGGUGGGACAAUGGGUAUCGACACCGAAAGGUGAAGGCAAUCUCCUAAACCCAUCCGUAGUUCGGAUUGUGGGCUGCAACUCGCCCACAUGAAGCUGGAAUCUGUAGUAAUCGUGUCUCAAAAUGGCACGGUGAAUAUGUCCCUGCUCCUU
rnacentral:rRNA from 1 species